GUCACUAUCCUUCCUUUGUGCAGGGCCCAUUCCAGAGAGGAGAGUUACAUAACCUAUGAGGUGGACACAUACCCUAAACCCAGGUAUGACAGUCAACAUCUCUCCUAUAGGCUGGCUUCAGGGAUGAGAACAUUAUUAUGCCUGUGAGCUGGGUCCAGAAAUGAGUCACCAUCCCAACUGUGACCAGAAUCACAUAGGUAAUCAUGUCUUCAUACUAUGGGAUGGUCCCCUCAGAUGCAUCCUCCAAGCUUGGAAGAAUUAAUUUCCCAAACCUUAGACUGGGUGGCUUAGGAUUGGACUCAAGACAAAAGAACCCAGAAGCCUGAUAUGCUGGCAAAAGGAGUGUCCCUGAGCCUAAUCUUUCCUAGUCAUGUGACAAGAACCCAUUUUUGCUGAAGGAAAGUUCUGCAACAUGAGGAUUUGGAACCCUCAUUUAAGAUAAGCUUAGUAUAUGCAUGUGGGUCUCUUUCUGGCUUCUGUUUCAACAUUUUUCUGUCUUUAUGCCAACACCACAGUAUUUUGAUUACUGUAAAUUUGCAAUAUAUUUUUAAACAAAAAAAGAAUAAUGCCUCUGAGUUUAUUAUUUAUUUCCAGGCUGUUCGGCUACUUGUGGUUUUUUUGAG